AAACAUUGGGUGCUGACUAUUGCGGAUCCCGAACAAGAAAUUGUUUAUUUUAUGGAUCCCAUGAAGAGGCGGUUACCCACCGGAGAAUGGGUUUCCAUUGUUGAUAGUGCAAUAUCUAUGUAUAAUGCACACAAGGGUAGGAAAGGCCGAAGUUCACCUAUAUGGAAAAAUUUGUCGGGUAUUCCUCCUCAACCGAACAACAAGGAGUGCGGCUACUUUGUCAUGUGAUACAUGAGAGACAUCAUUGAGGAUAAAGACUUUUCAUU